rnacentral:rRNA from 1 species
AUCUGGGCGGCGGAAUUCAGGAUGGCUGACGUGUGCCUAGUGGGUGCGUCGGUCGUUUGAUAUUUCCGUCGCCAACAACCGCAGACGUCGCGACCUGUUCGCGGUCGGUCCCUGCUCGGAGGAGCCGCGUUCAAGUUCGUUGUGUGCGCGUUUCGGCGUGUCACACGGCGAAGGGCGGAUCUCUGGCUGGCCGUCGGACAGUAUGCUUAACGGUGUCCGGUGUCGUCGUUUCGUACGCACGGCAUCGGUACCGGUCAGCGACGAAUUCUUCGGGCCUCUUUCCGACCCGUCUUGAAACACGGACCAAGGAGUCUAACAUGCGCGCGAGUCGCGGGGUAUCGAGCGUACUUCGGUGCGUUCGUUAUGUUGCGAAACCCGUACAUGUCGAAGGCGUAAUGAAAGUGAAUGGGGAAGAUGGUAGUCCGAGUUCACGUUCCGCGAUCAUCGGUAUCGCGGCCGGACGCCCGCAUUCCCGGGGCGUCUCAACGGCCCGUCGCUGAUGCGGACCGUCGUCCUUCGGGGCGGCUGUCGGUCGGCGACGAACCGA